rnacentral:rRNA from 2 species
GACGAACGCUGGCGGCGUGCCUAACACAUGCAAGUCGAACGGUUAAAGCACCUUUUAGGUGUGUAUAAAGUGGCGAACGGCUGAGUAACACGUGGGCAACCUGCCCUCCUCUUGGGGAUAGCCUCGGGAAACCGAGGAUAAUACCCGAUACUUCAAUGUGGCCGCAUGACGACAUUGAGAAAGCUUUUGCGGAGAAGGAUGGGCCCGCGGCCUGUUAGCUUGUUGGUGGGGUAGAGGCCUACCAAGGCAAUGAUGGGUAGCUGGGUUGAGAGACCGACCAGCCAGAUUGGGACUGAGACACGGCCCAGACUCCUACGGGAGGCAGCAGUGGGGAAUCUUGCACAAUGGGCGAAAGCCUGAUGCAGCGACGCCGCGUGCGGGACGAAGGCCUUCGGGUUGUAAACCGCUUUCAGCAGGGACGAGGCGUA